GAUGAACGCUGGCGGCGUGCCUAAUACAUGCAAGUAGAACGCUGAAGGAAGGAGCUUGCUCUUUCCGGAUGAGUUGCGAACGGGUGAGUAACGCGUAGGUAACCUGCCUGGUAGCGGGGGAUAACUAUUGGAAACGAUAGCUAAUACCGCAUAACAGUAGAUGUUGCAUGAUAUCUACUUAAAAGGUGCAAUUGCACCACUACCAGAUGGACCUGCGUUGUAUUAGCUAGUUGGUGAGGUGACGGCUCACCAAGGCGACGAUACAUAGCCGACCUGAGAGGGUGAUCGGCCACACUGGGACUGAGACACGGCCCAGACUCCUACGGGAGGCAGCAGUAGGGAAUCUUCGGCAAUGGACGGAAGUCUGACCGAGCAACGCCGCGUGAGUGAAGAAGGUUUUCGGAUCGUAAAGCUCUGUUGUAAGAGAAGAACGAGUGUGAGAGUGGAAAGUUCACACUGUGACGGUAUCUUACCAGAAAGGGACGGCUAACUACGUG
rnacentral:rRNA from 1 species